GCCUCAUCCAAUAGCUCAGUUGGUAGAGCAUGAGAUUCUUAAUGUCAGGGUCAUCGGUUCAAGCCCCACGUUGGGCA